rnacentral:rRNA from 1 species
UACAGACGGCGCAAGCGUUAUCCGGAAUGAUUGGGCGUAAAGCGUCUGUAGGUGGUUCGCGAAGUCUACUGUCAAAUCCCAGGGCUCAACCUUGGACAGGCAGUGGAGAACUCGCGGACUAGAGUACGGUAGGGGUAGAGGGAAUCCCCGGUGAAGCAGUGAAUGCACAGAGAUCGGGAAGAACACCAGUGGCGAAGGCGCUCUACUAGGCCGUGACUGACACUGAGAGACGAUAGCUAGGGGAGCGAAUAGG